AUUGGGCGUAAGCGCGCGCAGGUGGUUUCUUAAGUCUGAUGUGAAAGCCCACGGCUCAACCGUGGAGGGUCAUUGGAAACUGGGAGACUUGAGUGCAGAAGAGGAAAGUGGAAUUCCAUGUGUAGCGGUGAAAUGCGUAGAGAUAUGGAGGAACACCAGUGGCGAAGGCGACUUUCUGGUCUGUAACUGACACUGAGGCGCGAAAGCGUGGGGAGCAAACAGGAUUAGAUACCCUGGUAGUCCACGCCGUAAACGAUGAGUGCUAAGUGUUAGAGGGUUUCCGCCCUUUAGUGCUGAAGUUAACGCAUUAAGCACUCCGCCUGGGGAGUACGGCCGCAAGGCUGAAACUCUAAGGAAUUGACGGGGCGCCCGCACAAGCGGUGG
rnacentral:rRNA from 1 species